UUUUAUUUGAGAGUUUGAUCCUGGCUCAGGAUGAACGCUGGCGGCGUGCCUAACACAUGCAAGUUGAGCGAUUUACUUCGGUAAAGAGCGGCGGACGGGUGAGUAACGCGUGGGUAACCUACCCUGUACACACGGAUAACAUACCGAAAGGUAUGCUAAUACGGGAUAAUAUAUUUGAGAGGCAUCUCUUGAAUAUCAAAGGUGAGCCAGUACAGGAUGGACCCGCGUCUGAUUAGCUAGUUGGUAAGGUAACGGCUUACCAAGGCGACGAUCAGUAGCCGACCUGAGAGGGUGAUCGGCCACAUUGGAACUGAGACACGGUCCAAACUCCUACGGGAGGCAGCAGUGGGGAAUAUUGCACAAUGGGCGAAAGCCUGAUGCAGCAACGCCGCGUGAGUGAUGAAGGCCUUCGGGUCGUAAAACUCUGUCCUCAAGGAAG
rnacentral:rRNA from 1 species